AAUGACUAGGGCGAAUAAAUCUCUGUCGAAGGACCUCAAAGGACUGGUGUUUAAGUUCAGUGAGUUCAGUGCGACUCAUAUGAUAUGAGGCUUUGAGAUAGGUUAUGUUUCGGGAAGUAGGUCGAUAAAAAAUUCAUCUCCCGUGGGGAGGUAGACUAGGUAGUUCCUCUAAAAAGACAUCAGAAAAGUUACAGAAAAUAGGAAUGGUGUAUACGACGGGAUCGAUAUCCAUAUUCAUGUUUAUUUAAAAGUUAGAA
rnacentral:lncRNA from 1 species